rnacentral:rRNA from 1 species
ACCAUCCUCCAAGGCUAAAUACUCCUGACUGACCGAUAGUGAACCAGUACCGUGAGGGAAAGGCGAAAAGAACCCCGGCGAGGGGAGUGAAAAAGAACCUGAAACCGUGUACGUACAAGCAGUGGGAGCACAGGUUUACCUGUGUGACUGCGUACCUUUUGUAUAAUGGGUCAGCGACUUAUAUUCUGUAGCAAGGUUAACCGUAUAGGGGAGCCGGAGGGAAACCGAGUCUUAAUUGGGCGUUAAGUUGCAGGGUAUAGACCCGAAACCCGGUGAUCUAGCCAUGGGCAGGUUGAAGGUUGGGUAACACUAACUGGAGGACCGAACCGACUAAUGUUGAAAAAUUAGCGGAUGACCUGUGGCUGGGGGUGAAAGGCCAAUCAAACCGGGAGAUAGCUGGUUCUCCCCGAAAGCUAUUUAGGUAGCGCCUCGUGAAUUCAUCUCCGGGGGUAGAGCACUGUUUCGGCUAGGGGGCCAUCCCGGCUUACCAACCCGAUGCAAACUGCGAAUACCGGAGAAUGUUAUCACGGGAGACACACGGCGGGUGCUAACGUCCGUCGUGAAGAGGGAAACAACCCAGACCGCCAGCUAAGGUCCCAAAGUCAUGGUUAAGUGGGAAACGAUGUGGGAAGGCCCAGACAGCCAGGAUGUUGGCUUAGAAGCAGCCAUCAUUUAAAGAAAGCGUAAUAGCUCACUGGUCGAGUCGGCCUGCGCGGAAGAUGUAACGGGGCUAAACCAU